rnacentral:rRNA from 1 species
CCUAUCAGGUAGUAGUGGGUGUAGCGUACCUACUAGCCUACGACGGGUACGGGUUGUGAGAGCAAGAGCCCGGAGAUGGAUUCUGAGACACGAAUCCAGGCCCUACGGGGUGCAGCAGGCGCGAAAACUUUACAAUGCUGGAAACAGCGAUAAGGGAACCUCGAGUGCCAGGUUACAAAUCUGGCUGUCGUGAUGCCUAAAAAGCAUUGCAUAGCAAGGGCCGGGCAAGACCGGUGCCAGCCGCCGCGGUAACACCGGCGGCUCGAGUGGUAACCGUUAUUAUUGGGUCUAAAGGGUCUGUAGCCGGCCGGAUAAGUCUCUUGGGAAAUCUGGCAGCUUAACUGUCAGGCUUUCAGGAGAUACUGUCUGGCUCGAGGCCGGGAGAGGUGAGAGGUACU